AGAAACUCCUGGGAGUCCAGGUUCACCCUUGUCUCCUUUUGGUCCAGGUGCUCCUGUGUAUCCUGGAGACCCUAUUUCACUUUGACCUCCAGAGGAAAACAAUUACAGGGCAUGAAGUCUACAGUGAAUGCAAAUACAGAUGUACAGAAUAGAAAUACCAGCUGCAGAUGAUGAUGUUCUUUUUGUGAUUAGUCUAUCUCUAAUGGUCUGGUUCUCAUAUGUAAGCUGGGUGGAGUUUUGUUGAAUCUGGCCCUCGUUCAUCCUUUUGAAGGUAUUAAGCUCCUUGAUUCAAGGCAUAGUCUUUGUCCUUAAUUUGAAAUUCUUUGCUUUCAAUUUCUUAAUUUUCAUUUUAUGUCUUAUGAUCUCUUAGACUGGCUCUUAGCAUUGAUUUUAACAAUGGUCAGUCGGGUGUUUUGAAAGCUUCAAAUAGAUCACCAUGGGUGAAAUCCUGGCUCCACUGAAGUCAGUGGCAAAACUCCCACUGACUUCACUGAGGCCAAGAUUUUCCCCCAUGAGUCUCCUUUUAAUCUAUUUGCUAUUGUUUAUCUUGUACAUAUAAAAGUUUGAGACUUGGCUUCACUUUGAAUCAUCUGCACUGAACAUAUUCUCAAACGAUUCCAGCAAGACUAUUAGACAAUGGAGGAUUUUAAAUCUUUCCCCACAAAUGAUUGCUGGUGUCUCUUUCUAAACCAUUAACUAUCAGCACUGUUUUAAAGGUCAGUCUUAUCCUUAAUGACAGGAUAAAUAUCAACAUAGCAUGGAUCAUUUCAUAUUCAUUUUCAUUUAAAAGAAAUUCUGUACAUUUUCAUUCUUUACCUGGAACUCCUGGUGAGCCCUUUUGACCUUCCAGUCCAUUCAAACCAUCUAAUCCAGGCAACCCUGAUAAACCUUACAAGUAUUGUAAACAUUAUUAGAAGCAUGACCCAAAAGACUUGAAAAUGUUCAUUUAACAAAAGUAAAUAUAUAAAACUUGACAAUACAUUUCUGGUUCAGUACAGUGUUUGCUGGAAGUGUUUUGACAACUGAAGAAUGAACUACAUCAUUAACAGUUGAAGACUGUUUUGAAAAAGGAGCAUCAUUUCUAGAUUGCUGGAUAGUGAAGGAAAUAUGAAAGUAGCAGAGGAAAUUUCUAACACAUUUGUCAACACUUCAUUAUAACAUUAACACUGGGCCUAAAAUGAUUUCCAUAAAAUGAAUGAGUGAAGUUAGCUGCAUAAAACUAAUAAAAUGCCUGCUCCUAAAGAAAAGCAGGACACUUCUGCAACUAACAAGUUUUCACUAUCAGGUGUGUAAAUACCUUUUCAAAUGGAGGGCAAUUUGGAAAUCCUUGUCAUUGCAGCAUGACUCCCAGUGCUGUAGCUAAUAGGUAUACUGUUGUGUGCAACACAAUAAACUGUUUUCCUACAGAUUACACAGCAACAAGGAAUUUGUUAUUGUAUUAUAUGAGCACCGCCAACCUUCCCACAGAUAAUCAGAAAAAGCUUGCAUGUAAACCUCGGUUUUCAGUUUUGAACUGUCCAGGUUUGCCGUAGACUGAAACUGAAAAACUGAAUGUUUUCUUUAUAAAAAUUGAUCCCUUUUGGGGAAAUUUAUUAUGGACUCAAGGGUGGCUUUGACUUGAGCCCCAAAUCUGGGGCAGCAUGUGGUACCUCAGUACCACCCAGUAAAA